CAAGAAAUCGAGGCUGACGGUGCGCUACUCCCUAGCCCGGCCAGUCCCGCUCUCUACCUUGCCUACUGCACCGUUUGUUGCUUCCUGGCGGCGGCUGCCCGUCGCCAGGGCCGUUUGAUACAACCAUGUAUAGAGCAUUGAAAGCUUCUGACAUAACAGCGAAAUCGUA
rnacentral:misc_RNA from 1 species